rnacentral:rRNA from 1 species
CGGCAGCACGGGUGCUUGCACCUGGUGGCGAGUGGCGAACGGGUGAGUAAUACAUCGGAACGUACCUUAUCGUGGGGGAUAACGCAGCGAAAGCUGUGCUAAUACCGCAUACGCCCUGAGGGGGAAAGCGGGGGAUCGAAAGACCUCGCGCGAUUAGAGCGGCCGAUGCCUGAUUAGCUUGUUGGUGGGGUAAAAGCCCACCAAGGCGACGAUCAGUAGCUGGUCUGAGAGGACGAUCAGCCACACUGGGACUGAGACACGGCCCAGACUCCUACGGGAGGCAGCAGUGGGGAAUUUUGGACAAUGGGGGAAACCCUGAUCCAGCAAUGCCGCGUGAGUGAAGAAGGCCUUCGGGUUGUAAAGCUCUUUUGUCAGGGAAGAAACACCGGCUCUAACACAGUCCGGGAAUGACGGUACCUGAAGAAUAAGCACCGGCUAACUACGUGCCAGCAGCCGCGGUAAUACGUAGGGUGCGAGCGUUAAUCGGAAUUACUGGGCGUAAAGCGUGCGCAGGCGGUUAUACAAGACAGGCGUGAAAUCCCCGGGCUUAACCUGGGAAUGGCGCCUGUGACUGUAUAGCUAGAGUGUGUCAGAGGGGGGUAGAAUUCCACGUGUAGCAGUGAAAUGCGUAGAUAUGUGGAGGAAUACCAAU